UACGUAGGGUGCAAGCGUUGUCCGGAAUUAUUGGGCGUAAAGAGCGUGUAGGCGGCCCGAUUAGUCCGCUGUGAAAGUCCAGGGCUCAACCCCGGAAUGCCGGUGGAUACUGUCGGGCUAGAGUCCGGAAGGGGCGAGUGGAAUUCCUGGUGUAGCGGUGAAAUGCGCAGAUAUCAGGAGGAACACCAAUGGCGAAGGCAGCUCGCUGGGACAUGACUGACGCUGAGACGCGAAAGCGUGGGGAGCAAACAGG
rnacentral:rRNA from 1 species